AGAGUUUGAUCCUGGCUCAGAACGAACGCUGGCGGCAUGCCUAACACAUGCAAGUCGAACGAAGGCUUCGGCCUUAGUGGCGCACGGGUGCGUAACGCGUGGGAAUCUGCCCUUGGGUUCGGAAUAACAGUGAGAAAUUACUGCUAAUACCGGAUGAUGACUUCGGUCCAAAGAUUUAUCGCCCAAGGAUGAGCCCGCGUAAGAUUAGCUAGUUGGUGAGGUAAAGGCUCACCAAGGCGACGAUCUUUAGCUGGUCUGAGAGGAUGAUCAGCCACACUGGGACUGAGACACGGCCCAGACUCCUACGGGAGGCAGCAGUGGGGAAUAUUGGACAAUGGGCGAAAGCCUGAUCCAGCAAUGCCGCGUGAGUGAUGAAGGCCUUAGGGUUGUAAAGCUCUUUUACCAGGGAUGAUAAUGACAGUACCUGGAGAAUAAGCUCCGGCUAACUCCGUGCCAGCAGCCGCGGUAAUACGGAGGGAGCUAGCGUUGUUCGGAAUUACUGGGCGUAAAGCGCACGUAGGCGGCCAUUCAAGUCAGAGGUGAAAGCCCGGGGCUCAACCCCGGAACUGCCUUUGAAACUAGAUGGCUUGAAUCUUGGAGAGGCGAGUGGAAUUCCGAGUGUAGCGGUGAAAUGCGUAGA
rnacentral:rRNA from 1 species